GAGACUUGCACAUACAUACAUGAAAAAAAAAUUGUCAUUACCGCAACAGACGACUAAAUCGUCAUAAAAUAUUGUUACAGUAUCAAACCAAUUUUUUCAUAGUUUGAAGUAAUAAAUCUUAGUAAUAUCUUACCUUCAUGAUUAUUUGAGUGAAAUAUUCGCACAUUAUUUUUCGUACUGUGGUGUUAAAUUUACGUUUUUAAAAAAUUCAAAAAAACCAUUGGUCAAUAAACCACUUGAGGAGUGUAUAUGAUUAUUUUACUUCCAUUUUUCUACGGUGUGAGAUUUCACGGACUCAUGCAUGUUGAUUAAACACUUUAUUACAUUUAUUAUUAGAUUAAUUGAUAAUUAAUUGACCUAUUUUCUCCUCGUUAUGGUAAUGACAAUGUGUUGCGGUAGUGACAGUGCGUUCCGGUAAAUAGUUUCGAGUUUUAUCAUGCCUUAUAUUUUCCAAAUUUAUUUAGAAACAGUCAUGGCUUGAGCAAAAUUAAUUUUUAAACAGGUAAUUCAUCAGCAUUUGAAAACAAUUGUUCAAAACACUGUGUAUUAGAUGUAGGUUAGUCUCGCCUACCUCCCAGGACUGGACCCACAUAUAGGAGUUAUUUGUAACAACCUCUUAUGCAUAAAACACUAUAAUAGUGUUGUAAAAUCCACGCACAAGACAAUCUAAAGAUGAUUUGUCAUUACCGUAACACUGAUGUCAUUACCGAAACGAUUUGAUUCAAGGGAUUUGUUUCGGUAAUGACACGUUUCGGUUAUGACAUUUUGAAAUGUUAAACAGAAUAUAGAGGGCGCUACUUGCCAAAAGGUGUUAAAUAAUGUACAACACAAUUCAAAACCAAUCUAUAUUUCUUUCUAAACAAUUGCAUUUUUCCUAGGUGAUCGUACUUUUAUUGUAGCAAGCAUUCGGUAAUGACACUGAAUAAACAUACGCUUGAAAGUAAGACCAUUUACAAUGUAAUAUCUGCUUACUUACCCACAGGAGAACGUUAUGCCUUGUAUCAAAGAUGGCGGUUUCUGAAACUUUUAAUCACUUUUAUCUCACCGUUUCGGUAAUGACAAGAAUAUCAGGGACACCGUUUUACAAACAAUAAAUUAUUAAAAAAAAGAAUUUAGUAACCCGUAUCUUUUUUAAAAUCAACAAUGAAUAUUUUAUUAUACCUUAGUAAUCUCGACAGGUUAAAUUUUGAAAGAGAAUUCAGUUUUCACACACGCAUAUUCAAUAUUACAAAUUCGAUUUUGUAGUUUGGGACAUGGCAUUUCAAAGCAAGUCCAUGACGUUGAAAUUUUUUUUUAAGAAGUAAUAUUGCUUUCAGGGGUGUCCUUAUGGUGUGUAUGCAUAUUUAUUAUCUCCUUCUACAAUAUUCCAGACUUAUUUUUAAAAUUUCAUUAACCAGGUAUUGCUCAACACAUACUAAAAUGACGGGACACCAUUUGGGCCUCUA